UGCUAAAAUUGUUUAAAAAGCUGUUUAUAGGAAAAAAAUGUUACCUUUGAACUGGAGUAAGAUCAUCAGCAAAAGUGACGACUUGCUCCUCUUUUGUUUCUUUAUGCUCCUGGGAGGAAACAGGAGGAGCAGAGACUUUCCAUUCUUCGAUCACAAAACAUAUUCCAUACAUAGGUUCCUCACAUAGAGGUCCAGAUAACGUGGCAAGUUGGAAUCCACUUAUAAUACUGUGGUCACACUCACGUUUCACGAAGAUGUACUCCUACCUCCGCCCCGUCUUCCUCCCCCUGACUACUGAUGUUGCUCCCCGUGCUCAAUAAUCUUCUCCUUCUGUGGAACCAGAGGUCCUUGAAAAUCGCCUCCAUGGAUGAGAGGACUUUAAGAAGAUCCCCAUUCUCCUCCAGGAGUUUAAUCACAUCCGGAGGCAGGGAAACAGCUCUUUAAAGAAGACAUUUUGUUUAAAAUGGUGGAAUUUAUUCAAUUUUUGUAAAAACAAAAAAAAUAUUUGUUUUAUAUCUAGAAAUAAUAAAGGCCAAAAAGAUUUUU